AAAGUCGUAACAAGGUUUCCGUAGGUGAACCUGCGGAAGGAUCAUUACAAAGCUAGCAAGAUAGAUUUAGACCCGUCUUUACUGACAGUCUUCUUCUUCUUCUAUCAUCUCUUGUGCACCGUAUACAAACUAUUUGCGUCUAAAUUUCUAAAGCCUUAUGCAACACAUUCUAGUCGACGAUCGAAAGAUUGUGCGACGAAACGAAUACAAAAACAACUUUUAACAAUGGAUCUCUUGGCUCUC
rnacentral:misc_RNA from 1 species